rnacentral:rRNA from 1 species
UACGAAGGGGGCUAGCGUUGUUCGGAAUUACUGGGCGUAAAGCGCACGUAGGCGGAUAUUUAAGUCAGAGGUGAAAUCCUGGAGCUCAACUCCAGAACUGCCUUUGAUACUGAGGAUCUUGAGUACGGGAGAGGUGAGUGGAACUGCGAGUGUAGAGGUGAAAUUCGUAGAUAUUCGCAAGAACACCAGUGGCGAAGGCGGCUCACUGGCCCGUUACUGACGCUGAGGCACGAAAGCGUGGGGAGCAAACAGG